rnacentral:rRNA from 1 species
CCCAAGGGAUCGGGAUAACACCUGGAAACAGAUGCUAAUACCGGAUAACAACAGAUGAUGCCUAUCAACUGUUUAAAAGAUGGUUCUGCUAUCACUCUUGGAUGGACCUGCGGUGCAUUAGCUAGUUGGUAGGGUAACGGCCUACCAAGGCGAUGAUGCAUAGCCGAGUUGAGAGACUGAUCGGCCACAUUGGGACUGAGACACGGCCCAAACUCCUACGGGAGGCAGCAGGG